UCUUUGCUGAAGUGCUGGGCGUCUAUCGUCCGAGGGACGUGCUACAUUUCUAGGAGGUGGUGGUUUUAUCUGAGGUCUAGCCAAGGAAGCUUGUUGUUUCUGAAUCACCGCCUGAGGUUUGGAGACAGGGACACCUUGUUUUGACAUCACUUUUGACUUGCCAGAUUCCAGUGGUAGCCUGUUCUGUACCGAAGAUUGCCUUGGUACAGCGGGUUGCACUCUUGAAGGGGUUGGCCUGUGGGAAGCAGGCACAGUACUCUUGGAGCCUGGUGCCCCAGUAACCUUGGGGGACGCCCCUUUUGGCCGCAAAGGCGGCCGUCCAGGCCCACUUCCAUUACUGCUACCGAACUGUUUCCUAGAGUCUAACAUUUGUUGAGUCGGUUUAUUAAUAGACACCGAUUUUUGAAUCACAGCUUUAGGUUGCCUUUGGCCGUCUCUUCUCAUUUCACGAUCAUCUAGAAGCUUUCUCCCACUAUCACUUGAAGUCUGCUUUCCGAACCGUGCAUCACAAUAAGGGGCAGACACUUUCUGAGUUAAAGAACCUCUUGAUGGACCAGGAAGUUCAGCAUCAUCAGAUAAUAGAAACGAAUAGUCCCUUGUAUUUUUUACCAUAUCGAUCUUUCUUUUUAACCCAUUUGUGACUUUUGGUGCAUGGUUGCUGGUGGAAGCUCUUGAUCCUGCAGGUUUUGCAGGUUUUGAAGCAACACUCUUAUUGCUCGAAUGGUUAGAUUUCAUGACUUUAGCUGCCAGAUUUGGAUUCUCCAGUAGAGACUUGCUUUCUUGGAUCACUCUGUUAGAGAUAACAGGCUGUGAAGGUCCAAAGAAGGAACCAAAAUUAUCCCUGGAUGAUGCAUUCUUUUUAAAAUCACGAGAACCACCACCUAGUUCUUUCUUCCUCUGCUUCCUGAUAUCAUCUUUUAACCGUUGCCUCAGCUCCAGGUACUCUAACAACUCCUGUGAAGGCUGUUGAGGCUCUUCAUCCUCAUAUUCCUCUUCACCAGCCUCUUCCUCUUCACCUUCAGUCUCAUACUCAUCCAAAUACGAAUCAUCAUAUUCAUCUCCUUCAUAUCCCCGCAUAGCUGCUUGGGAAGGCUGACCUGACCCUGGAGAUCUCCGAGAAAAACAAAUAGCUGAAUUCCUGUAUCGAUCUACCGAAAUCCGAAAAAAAGCAUUGAUUUUUCUUGGAGAGAAGUGAACGAAUCGUUUCAGGAUCUGAAGAAUUGAGCGGUUUUGAUGCGAUAUCGUCGGUGAAUAAGGGAUUAUUAUUUGGGAGAAAAAGGAAGAUAAAGCUCUUAGGGCAAACUAGAGAUGAGGAGGCAAGGCUAUCGUGCGCUGGGGUGUGUUGUAUAUACCCGAAAACGGGCUCAAUUUCG
rnacentral:misc_RNA from 1 species